UUUUAGAUAAAGCAUAUGAGGACAGUGGGGAGCGCUAAUAUUGGCCAAUGUGUCAAUAAUAUCUUGAGAAGAUUAAUGAUUGAUGAGCUGGCCAUGAAAUUCUCAUAUACUGGCCGUGCAUCAAACGGGAACACAAAAACUCCAUUUCAUGGGAGUGAGAUAUCGAAAUGCAUACUGAUUGCUGUUCAAACGUUUUUUUGGUGACAUUGCAAUUGAAGUGAAAUAUGGAUCGUUGGCGUCGAAAUGGUUUCAACAAGCCAGAACAAGGUUGUUGAGGACCAAGAGCAGAGAGACUACGCCUCAUGAAGCUCAAAUCGAG